UACGUAGGUGGCGAGCGUUGUCCGGAUUUAUUGGGCGUAAAGCGCGCGCAGGUGGUGCGGUAAGUCUGUCGUGAAAUCUCCCGGCUCAACUGGGAGGGUGCGGUGGAGACUGCCGGACUAGAGGCACUCAGAGGCCGGUGGAAUUCCCGGUGUAGUGGUGAAAUGCGCAGAUAUCAGGAGGAACACCGGUGGCGAAGGCGGGUCUCUGGGCCGAUAUUGACGCUGAGGAGCGAAAGCGUGGGGAGCAAACAGG
rnacentral:rRNA from 1 species